UUUUAAAAUAAUAAUAGAGACAAGGUCUCACUAUGUUGCCCAGGCUGGUCUUGAACUCCUGAACUCAAGUGAUCCUCCUGCCUCAGCCUCCCAAAGUGCUAGGAUUACAGCCAUGAGUCACCACGCCUGGGCUGGGCUAAUUUUUUUUUAACCUUUUAUAGAGAUGGGGAUCUUGGUAUGUUGCCCAGGCUGGCUUCAAACUCCUGGCCUCAAGCGAUCUUCCUGCCUUGGCUCCCUGAAGCACUGGGAUUACAGGCAUGAGCCACCACACCUGGCCCACCCUUUUUGAAGUAGUCUGGGCAAUGCACAAAGCAGUCCAUGGUGGCCCCCCAGUCCCCCAGGCUUACUACCCCCCUUGUUGCAGAGCCCAAAGUCCAGCUCCUCAUUCCCCCAUCACUCUUCUAACUGGGGACCCAGGACUCCUGCACUGCCCUGUUCUUACCCCCUAUAUCCCAAUCACCUGUACUGUUAGCUUUCAGGUUCUUAUUGGUUCCUCCACUAAGGACGGGCCAUGAGGGCAGGGACCUUAUCUGCCCUUCAGGGCGGAAUUCCCAGUACCAGGCACGCAGUAGGUGUUCCAUAAAUGUUUGCUGAAUGACUAAAAGCCCACCCCAAGGAACAAAGAAAAAUCUCUCCUUUCACACACUUCCC
rnacentral:lncRNA from 1 species